rnacentral:rRNA from 1 species
UACGAAGGGGGGCUAGCGUUGCUCGGAAUCACUGGGCGUAAAGCGCACGUAGGCGGAUCCUUAAGUCGGGGGUGAAAUCCUGGAGCUCAACUCCAGAACUGCCUUCGAUACUGAGGAUCUCGAGUCCGGGAGAGGUGAGUGGAACUGCGAGUGUAGAGGUGAAAUCGUAGAUAUUCGCAAGAACACCAGUGGCGAAGGCGGCUCACUGCCCGGGUAC